GGAUAUGAGGGAAAACUGGCUGUGACAUCUGUCAACACACUGAUUUCCAGGGUUGAUACAGAUGGUCUGAGCUGAUCCCCAGUCUCCCUUACCACCCCAGUGAUGUCCCUUCCAGAGCCAUGUGCUCAUCCAAAGUGAAUGACCUUCUGAAAGAGAACCAGUCAUGAAGGGUAUUUAAAAGGUAUAUUUCAUUGCUAUAGUUUUUAGAUCAGCUCAGAAUUUAUUUAAAGAUAGAUAAAUCUUUAGAACAAGUACACAAAUGGGGUGAUUCCUUUUUCU
ensembl:misc_RNA 7SK 7SK RNA